GACGAACGCUGGCGGCGUGCCUAAUACAUGCAAGUAGAACGCUGAAGAGAGGAGCUUGCUCUUCUUGGAUGAGUUGCGAACGGGUGAGUAACGCGUAGGUAACCUGCCUUGUAGCGGGGGAUAACUAUUGGAAACGAUAGCUAAUACCGCAUAACAAUGGAUGACACAUGUCAUUUAUUUGAAAGGGGCAAUUGCUCCACUACAAGAUGGACCUGCGUUGUAUUAGCUAGUAGGUGAGGUAAUGGCUCACCUGGGCGACGAUACAUAGCCGACCUGAGAGGGUGAUCGGCCACACUGGGACUGAGACACGGCCCAGACUCCUACGGGAGGCAGCAGUAGGGAAUCCUCGGCAAUGGGGGCAACCCUGACCGAGCAACGCCGCGUGAGUGAAGAAGGUUUUCGGAUCGUAAAGCUCUGUUGUAAGUCAAGAACGGGUGUGAGAGUGGAAAGUUCACACUGUGACGGUAGCUUACCAGAAAGGGACGGCUAACUACGUG
rnacentral:rRNA from 1 species